rnacentral:rRNA from 1 species
CGUAACAAGGUCUCCGUUGGUGAACCAGCGGAGGGAUCAUUACCGAGUUUACAACUCCCAAACCCCUGUGAACAUACCACUUGUUGCCUCGGCGGAUCAGCCCGCUCCCGGUAAAACGGGACGGCCCGCCAGAGGACCCCUAAACUCUGUUUCUAUAUGUAACUUCUGAGUAAAACCAUAAAUAAAUCAAAACUUUCAACAACGGAUCUCUUGGUUCUGGCAUCGAUGAAGAACGCAGCAAAAUGCGAUAAGUAAUGUGAAUUGCAGAAUUCAGUGAAUCAUCGAAUCUUUGAACGCACAUUGCGCCCGCCAGUAUUCUGGCGGGCAUGCCUGUUCGAGCGUCAUUUCAACCCUCAAGCACAGCUUGGUGUUGGGACUCGCGUUAAUUCGCGUUCCCCAAAUUGAUUGGCGGUCACGUCGAGCUUCCAUAGCGUAGUAGUAAAACCCUCGUUACUGGUAAUCGUCGCGGCCACGCCGUUAAACCCCAACUUCUGAAUGUUGACCUCGGAUCA